rnacentral:rRNA from 1 species
AGUGAACGCUGGCGGUAGGCCUAACACAUGCAAGUCGAACGGCGGCACAGUAAGAGCUUGCUCUUACGGGUGGCGAGUGGCGGACGGGUGAGGAAUACAUCGGAAUCUACUUUUUCGUGGGGGAUAACGUAGGGAAACUUACGCUAAUACCGCAUACGACCUACGGGUGAAAGCAGGGGAUCUUCGGACCUUGCGCGAUUGAAUGAGCCGAUGUCGGAUUAGCUAGUUGGCGGGGUAAAGGCCCACCAAGGCGACGAUCCGUAGCUGGUCUGAGAGGAUGAUCAGCCACACUGGAACUGAGACACGGUCCAGACUCCUACGGGAGGCAGCAGUGGGGAAUAUUGGAUAAUGGGCGAAAGCCUGAUCCAGCCAUACCGCGUGGGUGAAGAAGGCCUUCGGGUUGUAAAGCCCUUUUGUUGGGAAAGAAAAGCAGCAGGUUAAUACCCCGCUGUUCUGACGGUACCCAAAGAAUAAGCACCGGCUAACUUCGUG